rnacentral:rRNA from 1 species
CCUACGGGAGGCAGCAGUGAGGAAUAUUGGUCAAUGGACGAGAGUCUGAACCAGCCAAGUAGCGUGAAGGAUGACUGCCCUAUGGGUUGUAAACUUCUUUUAUAUGGGAAUAAAAUGUUCCACGUGUGGGUUUUUGUAUGUACCAUAUGAAUAAGGAUCGGCUAACUCCGUGCCAGCAGCCGCGGUAAUACGGAGGAUCCGAGAGUUAUCCGGAUUUAUUGGGUUUAAAGGGAGCGUAGGUGGAUUGUUAAGUCAGUUGUGAAAGUUUGCGGCUCAACCGUAAAAUUGCAAUUGAUACUGGCAGUCUGGAGUACAGUAGAGGUUGGCGGAAUUCGUGGUGUAGCGGUGAAAUGCUUAGAUAUCACGAAGAACUCCGAUUGCGAAGGCAGCUCACUAGACUGCAACUGACACUGAUGCUCGAAAGUGUGGGUAUCAAACAGGAUGAGAUACCCUGGUAGUC